GUGUGUAGGGAGUUAGCAGCUGAGCAGCGGAGGGAAAUCGAGUCAGAAAGGGUUCUGCAUUGUUGAACCAGAAUGACAUUGAUUGACAGGGUCUGAAGGAAAGCUGAUAGCCAUGUUUGGCAUGCUGGUUUAAAGGACAGACGUGACUGCCGAUCCAAAGUCGGUGGAGAAUGAAUUCAGCGGGCAAUCGCUCCAAGUGGUCACACUGCGUGAGAGAGAAGCCUUGAGGAAAAGGAAACACAGAGCUGCCGACAUGGGCCACCGCUGCUCACGAGGACCCGUUGCUCUGUAGCCAACGUUGAGUAGGACCUUCAAGACUGUUAACCCUCACAAGGACUCAAUCCCAAGCCAUGUCUUCAAAGCAUGUGCAGACCAUCUGGCUGGAGUGUUCAUGGACAUUUUCAACCUCUCUCUAUCCCUCUCUGUCGUCCGCACUUACUACAAUAUGGCCUCCAUUGUUCCUGUACCCAAGCAAGCCAAGAUCCAUGGACGAUGCAAUCGUCGUUGCACUGCACACCGCCCUAUCCCACAUGGACAAGAGGACUACCUACCGUAUGUGAGAAUGCUGUUCAUCGACUACAGCUCAGAUUCUAACACCAUAGUGCCCUCCAGAAAUUGUGUAAUAGUCAACUUAAAAUAUUGUCAUAUAAUAAUCAUAGAUCCAUCUUCCGUAUAAAUAGCCUUUAGAAUAUAUGUAAACAAACCAUAAAUGUCUACAUUUGUGUAUCCUUGGAAAGCUUAGAGUGCUAUUAUAUGAUUCAGUAUCAAUACUAUGUCUGUGGAUUGACUGCAUUGUUUGAAUGGAAUGUUGGUAUAUUGGCAGUUGAUACAUGUUUUUAUAUGGAAUCAUCUCUCUAAAACUCUGGUUAGCUAGCUGACAGACAUACAGUGAGAUACGUUUUUCAAAUUCAUUAUUUUACACAAUUUCUCAUCACAGUGCUGCCAAACCAUGGUUUACCAACUCCCUGACCAAAAUGAUGACCUUUAUCCCAUUAUAAGAUGGUUCUUGUCCAUUCUAGAAUUCUAAUUCCUAUUUCUAUGAGGGUGAUCUCCAGGGGGGUAGGGGCCCCCAAAUCCUUUGGGGGGGUGUAUGGCACACCAGUGGCAUACUCUAAUAUAUCUACUGCUAUUUGAUUUUGAAUUUUAA